rnacentral:rRNA from 1 species
CCUACGGGAGGCUGCAGUGGGGAAUAUUGGGCAAUGGGCGCAAGCCUGACCCAGCAACGCCGCGUGAGGGAAGAAGGCUUUCGGGUUGUAAACCUCUUUUUUCAGGGACGAAGCAAGUGACGGUACCUGACGAAUAAGCCACGGCUAACUACGUGCCAGCAGCCGCGGUAAUACGUAGGUGGCCAGCGUUAUCCGGAUUUAUUGGGUGUAAAGGGAGUGUAGGCGGGAAUGCAAGUCAGAUGUGAAAACUAUGGGCUCAACCCAUAGCCUGCAUGUGAAACUGUAGUACUUGAGUGCUGGAGAGGCCAUCGGAAUUCCGUGUGUAGCGGUGAAAUGCGUAGGUAUACGGAGGAAAACCAGUGGCGAAAGCGGAUUGCUGGACAGGAACUGACGCUGAGGCGCGAAAGCGUGGGGAGCAAACAGGAUUAGAUACCCUUGUAGUC